GCCUUAGUACGGCGAGUGAGCGGCAAAAGCUCAAAUUUGAAAUCUGGUACCUUCGGUGCCCGAGUUGUAAUUUGGAGAGGGCAACUUUGGGGCCGUUCCUUGUCCUGU
rnacentral:rRNA from 1 species